AUUGAACGCUGGCGGCAGGCCUAACACAUGCAAGUCGAGCGAGCGGCGGACGGGUGAGUAAUGUCUGGGAAACUGCCUGAUGGAGGGGGAUAACUACUGGAAACGGUAGCUAAUACCGCAUACUAUCAGAAGUGCCCAGAUGGGAUUAGCUAGUGGGUGCGGUAACGGCUCACCUAGGCGACGAUCCCUAGCUGGGCUGAGAGGAGGACCAGCCACACGGGAACUGAGACACGGUCCAGACUCCUACGGGAGGCAGCAGUGGGGAAUAUUGCACAAUGGGCGCAAGCCUGAUGCAGCCAUGCCGCGUGUGUGAAGAAGGCCUUCGGGUUGUAAAGCACUUUCAGCGGGGAGGCGUUACCCGCAGAAGAAGCACCGGCUAACUCCGUGCCAGCAGCCGCGGUAAUAC
rnacentral:rRNA from 1 species